UAUGUGAUCGUCUCUCGCAUAUCAAUAAGCAGGAGGAAAAGAAACUAACAAGGAUUCCCCUAGUAACGGCGAGUGAAGCGGGAAGAGCUCAAAUUUGAAAUCUUAAAGGGUUUCCCUUUACGAAUUGUAGUUUAAAGAAGUGUUUUCUGUUGAGGUUUUGGUAAAAGUUCUUUGGAAUAGGACAUCAUAGAGGGUGAGAAUCCCGUAUUUGACCCUUACUUUCAACUUUGUGAUACACUUUCAAAGAGUCGGAUUGUUUGGGAAUGCAGUCCAAAAUGGGUGGUAAAUUUCAUCUAAAGCUAAAUAUUGGCGAGAGACCGAUAGCGAACAAGUACCGUGAGGGAAAGAUGAAAAGAACUUUGAAAAGAGAGUUAAACAGUACGUGAAAUUGUCAAAAGGGAAGCGUUUGACACCAGUGUUGUUUUUCUGAAAAUCAAUUAAAGAACUGUUUAUGCUAAGUUGUUUAGACUUUAUCAGCUAACUGCUUAGUUUUGAGCUUUUCUUUAAUGCACUUUUCAGUUAACAAGUCAACAUCAAUUUCUUUUGCUGUAAAAAAGCUUGAGGAAGGUGGCUUGAGAUUCGUCUUAAGUGUUUAUAGCCUCUUGCCUAUGCAGUCGGAGAGAUUGAGGUCUGCAGCGUAGAUCCUUCGGGGCUAAAUGCAUUUGUGCUAAGUUAUAGCAUUUUAUAGACAACUUGUUGACUAUGAUUUGUCUUGUAGCUUACUCGCUUAUGUUAUUUUACCUACGCUUAGGAUGUUGAGUAGCGACAUACGCAC
rnacentral:rRNA from 1 species